rnacentral:rRNA from 1 species
UACAGAGGUCUCAAGCGUUGUUCGGAUUCAUUGGGCGUAAAGCGUGCGUAGGUGGUUUGUUAAGUCUGAUGUGAAAGCCCUGGGCUCAACCUGGGAACGGCAUUGGAAACUGGCUUACUAGAGUGCGGUAGAGGGGUGUGGAAUUCCCGGUGUAGCAGUGAAAUGCGUAGAUAUCAGGAGGAAUACCGAUGGCGAAGGCAGGUCUCUGGGCUAUAACUGACGCUCAUGCACGAAAGCGUGGGGAGCAAACAGG